CAUGCGCACUGGCUUGCAAGGG
rnacentral:misc_RNA from 1 species